GACGGAGGAUGCAAGCGUUAUCCGGAAUGAUUGGGCGUAAAGCGUCCGCAGGUGGCAGUUCAAGUCUGCUGUCAAAGACCGGGGCUCAACCUCGGAAAGGCAGUGGAAACUGAACAGCUAGAGUAUGGUAGGGGCAAAGGGAAUUCCUGGUGUAGCGGUGAAAUGCGCAGAUAUCAGGAGGAACACCGAUGGCGAAGGCAGGUCUCUGGGCAUUAACUGACGCUGAGGAGCGAAAGCAUGGGGAGCGAACAGG
rnacentral:rRNA from 1 species